rnacentral:rRNA from 1 species
AUCAACUUUCGAUGGUAGGAUAGAGGCCUACCAUGGUGGUAACGGGUAACGGGGUGUUAGGGCACGACACCGGAGAGGGAGCCUGAGAAACGGCUACCACAUCCAAGGAUGGCAGCAGGCGCGCAAAUUACCCAAUCCCGACACGGGGAGGUAGUGACAAUAAAUAACAAUACGGGGUUCUUUCGGAUUUCGUAAUUGGAAUGAGUACAAUUUAAAUCUCUUAACGAGGAACAAUUGGAGGGCAAGUCUGGUGCCAGCAGCCGCGGUAAUUCCAGCUCCAAUAGCGUAUAUUAAAGUUGCUGCAGUUAAAAAGCUCGUAGUUGAAUUUCGGGACCAAUAUGUCGGUCGUGCCUCGGUACGUACUGGCAUCGUUGGUUUCUCCCUUCUGACGAACCAUGAUGUCAUUCAUUUGGUGUCGUGGGGAAUCAGGACUGUUACUUUGAAAAAAUUAGAGUGUUUAAAGCAGGCUCACGCUUGAAUACAUUAGCAUGGAAUAAUGAAAUAGGACGUUUGAUUCUAUUUUGUUGGUUUCUAGGAUCGACGUAAUGAUUAAUAGGGAUAGUUGGGGGCAUUAGUAUUCAAUUGUCAGAGGUGAAAUUCUUGGAUUUAUUGAAGACUAACUACUGCGAAAGCAUUUGCCAAGGAUGUUUUCAUUAAUCAAGAACGAAAGUUAGGGGAUCGAAGACGAUCAGAUACCGUCGUAGUCUUAACCAUAAACUAUGCCGACUAGGGAUCGGAUGAUGUUAAUUUUUUAAUGACUCAUUCNGCGCCUUACGGGAAACCAAAGUGUUUGGGUUC